CAAAACCCAUUGCAAAGCCUAGAAUUUAUUCAAAAAACUUUAUGAUGUGCUUGAGAUGAGCAUAAUUCUGAGAGCUUUUGGGAGAGUCACACUCACAAUCUCUCAUGUAAGUGGAUUUCUGUUUCACAGGAAGAAUGCCAGUGUCACUCAGUUCUAAAUCAUGCCCUCAGGGCUCUUAGCAGGACCUCGGUAGAGCUGGCAAUUACCCACUGAUUACAUCUGAAGAUUUUUGCUAAUGGACUUCCUCUCUUCUGAGGACUUCAUGUUCAGUGUACACCAAGGACAGAGGAUACUGAUUUGAGACAGAAAACAGAAUUGGCUCCAUACAAAGGACUUACUUUCAGUUGAAACCUGACCUGCAUCCCAUGAUCGAAUGUAGUCGUCCUGGGGGAAGGAGAGAAGGAAACACUGACAUUCAGACAGUAUUGAACACAAUGGGAGGAACAGGAAGAAGCAAAUCUGUGCCUGCAGCUAAGCAUGUUCUUCUAAUUGGAGUACCAUAGUUUAAUGUCAUUUUAGAGUGCUGAACGAAUGUUAAUAUAUGUCAUUCUUAUGAGGUGCUGGAGUUUAACAGUAAAGCGCUGUCAAAGAUCUGACAUAAUACUAGCUUCAGUGCCAUUUUGUGUUUAGCUAUUGUACAAAUGAGAAAAAAGAGUCUUCCAAACUCUUAUUAUUAAAUAGGCUAUCAUAGAAUUAUGAAGUGAUUGAGCAUAUUUAGAAAAUACUGUAUAUAUUUACUGACCUCCACUUCCUGAAGAAUCGUGAGACACAUGUAAGGAAGAGAGGAGAGAAGAGAGAGAUGAGUCAUGUAUUAGCCGUACUCGGACAUACACGUCCACUCUUCCCAAGAAUUCCCUUGUAUUUUCUGUUAUGCUCUAAAGACAGUGCCUCAAUAGAGGCAGCAUCAUUCUGACUGUUCACACUAUAUUCACACUGUUCAUAGUGCGUGGCACUCUUUGUGCUAUUUUUCCAGUAUCUGAUGAUGGCUCUUUCUGCAAAUUAUUCUGCUUGUUCAGACAAUGUGCUUUACAGAAAGGCUGCUCUUUACACAAAAUAGGGUUUUCAACCAUUGCAAUUGCAAGUUAGAGCUCCUUCCAUAUCUAUUAGAAAUGGAUAAAAAAAAUACUGUGUAAACAAGAUGAAUAAACUGUUUACUUGGCUUAUGUUAGUUACCCCACAAUAAAUCUAAAGUUUAAAAUUGA